UACGUAGGUGGCGAGCGUUGUCCGGAUUUAUUGGGCGUAAAGCGCCCGCAGGCGGCUUGAUAAGUUUCAGGUGAAAUCUCCUGGCUUAACUGGGAGGGGUCCUGGAAAACUGUCAGGCUUGAGGCAGGGAGAGGGAUGUGGAAUUCCCGGUGUAGUAGUGAAAUGCGUAGAUAUUGGGAGGAACACCGGUGGCGAAGGCGGCCCCCUGGACCGGUACUGACGCUGAGGCGCGAAAGCGUGGGGAGCAAACGGG
rnacentral:rRNA from 1 species